rnacentral:snRNA from 9 species
AUACUUACCUGGCGUAGGGAUACCGUGAUCAAGCAGGCGGUUCCCCCAGGGUGAGGCUGCGCCGUUACACUGCGGAGUGGUUGACCCUUGCGAUUAUUCUUAUUUUUUAUAAGUUUCACUUCUACCGUGUGUGACUUGCACACACACACA